GAUGAAGAACGUAGUGAAAUGCGAUAAGUAGUGUGAAUUGCAGAUUUCAGUGAAUCAUCGAAUCUUUGAACGCACAUUGCGCCCUUUGGUAUUCCUUAGGGCAUGCCUGUUCGAGCGUCAUUUAAACCUUCAAGCUCAGCUUGGUGAUGGGUGACUGUCCGCUGCCUCCCCCCGGGGUGCGCCGCGGACUCGCCUCAAAACGAUUGGCGGCCGGUACGUUGGCUUCGAGCGCAGCAGAAACGCGUAACUCGAGGUACCCGUGGCGGCUCCCAGAAGCAACCUUAUUAUGUUGACCUCGGAUCAGGUAGGGAUACCCGCUGAACUUAAGCAUAUCAAUAAGCGGAGGA
rnacentral:misc_RNA from 1 species